rnacentral:lncRNA from 1 species
CAUUAAAAAUUCAACUAAAAAUAUGGAUGGAUGCAAAAUUUGGGAUUGAACAAAAAUCUGUGCAAGGAGAAACAAAAAGACAAAUCAGUGUGCGGGUUGCGCAACCACUUAUCUGCUCUUCUUUCGCUUGAAAAAUGGACGACGGACUGAAACACGUGCAGUUGCUUAAUAAGAUGCAAUCACACAAACGACCGUAUCGGAUCGUCUUCGAGAUACACGGCCAACACACACCACUAGCCAAACUGCACUUGUGUUACGCGCGAGUGAAGCCCC